CGGGUUAUUGAUUUACCACUA
ensembl:piRNA 21ur-4569 ncRNA